ACAUGGCAGAGGGACGUGUGGGCUAGCAUGGCGACUUCAACACCAGCCACGUGAAGCAAGAUAUUCAAGAUGGCAGACAUUUCAUCAAAAUUCGAUCCGGGGGACGUGAGUGCGUCGAGGUUGGAAAGCAGAGACCUUAGCCACAAGACUACGAGUAUUGGACGGCCGAGGAGAGGACUGCUAGGCCCGACAGAGCGCGCCACUCUGCGCCACUCUGCGCCACUCUGCGCCACUCUGCGCCCACGUGACCCCCGGGGCGAGCUGAGGACUGCCUGCUCCACAACAACUCUGAAGAAGUGUUGACGUCUGGACGGGGCGUGCGUACCGUAGCCCCAGAUCUGCUCGCACUGGAUGCUCAGCGUGGGGCAGACGCCGUUGAAGCAGUAGCCGGUGCCAGUGCUGCAGGGGUUGCCGUUCUUCUUGUGCACGUCCUGCGGACACUGGCCGUGCUCGCCCGAGCAGUGCUCCGCCAGGUCGCACUCGUUGGUCGCGUCUCGACACACCACGCCACGCGCCCGCAGCUGCGAGCAGCACAUCUCCCGGUCCUCAGCCUGUCACCGGAGGUGCAUUUAUCACUAAUACUCUAAUAUUGUUUCGAACUGAAAAGUGGAUCAAGAAGAAUGCCAAAUACCCAGCUGUAGCCUGACCUGAAAUCAGGCCUGUCUUCUAUCCUCGAGUGGCUUGAGAAUCCCGAAAGCUUUCAAAAGCCACCGCAUGGUAUUGCAUUAAAAAGAAGCUUGCAAUCCUGGAUGCAUAGAGUGUUGGGUCAUGCUGGGAUGUGGAGACCUGCCAUAACCAGCAGUCAGUUCCAGAAAGAAUAAAAGCAGAAUCGCUAGCUUCAGUGAACAAUCCAACAGGCGAGUUGAGUGAAAUGUGACUUCUGCAAGCGGCACAGCUGCGGAGCAACAGGUAGGUAAGUGCAGAUCGGGUGGAGAAUAUUGUGGAAGGUUCGGUUGACGUAUUGUAGACCCAUAAGAAUAUAAUGUAGAGCAAUUUAAUUGCACUGUAGAGCAAUUUUAUUCAUUGUAGAACCAUUUUAUUCAUUGUUUAGGAGUAUAAAUAAAUUAUAAGCCAAUAUUUUUGAAAUUUUUGCAAUGUAGUGCCAAAAAUUUUGAAAUUUUCAUUUGAGAGGAAGGUUUUUAUAAAACCUUUGCAUUAUAGUGGAAGUUUUUUAUAAAUUCUUUGCAUUGUAGAGCCAAUUUUUAAUAUUUUUGCAUUGUAGAGCCAAUAUAUAAUAAUUUUUGCAUUGUAGAGGCAAUUUUAUAAAUUAAUUGCAUUGUAGAGCCAAUAUUUAAUAAUUUUUGCAUUGUAGAGACAUUUUAUAGAAACUUUGCAUUGUAGAGCCAAUAUAUAAUAAUUUUUGCAUUGUAGAGCCAAUAUAUAAUAAUUUUUUGCAUUGUAGAGCCAAUAUGUAAUAAUUUUUUGCAUUUUAGAGGAAUUUUAUGAAAAUUUUGCUUUGUAGAGCCAAUAUAUAAUAAUUUUUGCAUUGUAGAGGCAAUUUUAUAAAUUAAUUGCAUUGUAGAGCCAAUAUUUAAUAAUUUUUGCAUUUGUAGAGGCAUUUUAUAAAAACUUUGCAUUGUAGAGCCAAUAUAUAAUAAUUUUUACAUUUUACAGCCAAUAUAUAAUAAUUUUUUGCAUUGUAGAGCCAAUAUGUAAUAAUUUUUGCAUUAUAGAGGCAUUUUUAUAAAUUAUUUGCAUUGUAGAGCCAAUAUUUAAUAAUUUUUGCAUUGUAGAGACAAUAUAUAAUAAUUUUGCAUUGUAGAGGCAUUUUUAUAAUUAUUUGCAUUGUAGAGCCAAUAUUUAAUAAUUUUUGCAUUGUAGAGCCAAUAUAUAAUAAUUUUUGCAUUGUAGAGCCAAUAUAUAAUAAAUUUUUGCAUUGUAGAGCCAAUAUGUAAUAAUUUUUGCAUUGUAGAGGCAUUUUUAUAAAUUCUUUGCAUUGUAGAGCCGAUAGUCAAUAAUUUUUGCAUUGUAGAGGCAUUUUAUAAAAACUUUGCAUUGUAGAGCCAAUAUUUAAUAUUUUUGCAUUGUAGAGCCAAUAUUUAAUAAUUUUUGCAUUGUAGAGGCAUUUUUAUAAAUUAUUUGCAUUGUAGAGCCAAUAUUUAAUAAUUUUUGCAUUGUAGAGCCAAUAUUUAAUAAUUUUUGCAUUGUAGAGGCAUUUUUAUAAAAACUUUGCAUUGUAGAAAUUUUUAAAUAAGUUGCAUUGUAGAGACAUUUUUAUAAACACAUUGCAUUGUAGAGGCAAUAUUUUUUGACAUAGAGGGUGCAAAGGCAUUGUAGAGCCAUUCAGUAAGGAGUGUGUACUGUGGACUGGAAAAUUUUGUUAUUUGUAAAUAGACAUUGUGUGGUGAUUUAAUUAGUAAUGAAAAUAUUAUUAGUAAAUAAAACCGUAUAAAAAAAAUUGAGCUAUCAUUACAAUCCACAGCAAUCCAGUUGUAACAAUCUCUAAUGAAAUCUGACAAAAUAAAAU